UACAGGGGGUGCAAACGUUGCUCGGAAUCACUGGGCGUAAAGGGCGUGUAGGCGGGAAGGAAAGUCAGAUGUGAAAUCCCUGGGCUCAACCCAGGAACUGCAUUUGAAACUCCCUUUCUUGAGUGUCGGAGAGGAGAGCGGAAUUCCUGGUGUAGCGGUGAAAUGCGUUGAUAUCAGGAGGAACACCCAUGGCGAAGGCAGCAUACUGGUCAUCAUCUGACGCUGAGGCGCGAAAGCGUGGGUAGCAAACAGG
rnacentral:rRNA from 1 species